UGAUAUACGCUCGUCUCAAAGGUUAAGCCAUGCAUGUCUAAGUACAAGCUUCCUAGAAAGUGAAACCGCAUAAGGCUCAGUAUAACAGCUAUAAUUUACAAGAUCCUCAUCCAAACAGUUACUUGGAUAACUGUGGAAAAGCCAGAGCUAAUACAUGCAUUAUGCCGGGACUGUUGGCCUCCGGGUCGGCGGAACUGGUGCACCUUAUUAGUUAAACCAAUCGCCUCCGGGCGCUUUGAGUUGAAAUCUGGAUAAGGAUGCCGAUCGUACGGUCGCUUGCGACUGACGACAGAUCUUUCAAAUGUCUGCCCUAUCAACUAUUGAUGGUAGUGUAGAGGACUACCAUGGUUGCGACGGGUAACGGGGAAUCAGGGUUCGAUUCCGGAGAGGGAGCCUGAGAAAUGGCUACCACAUCCAAGGAAGGCAGCAGGCGCGUAAAUUACCCAAUCCCGGCACGGGGAGGUAGUGACGAGAAAUAACAAUAUGGACCUCUCUAACGAUGGUCCAUAAUUGGAAUGAGUUGAGCAUAAAUCCUUUUGCAAGGAUCAAGUGGAGGGCAAGUCUGGUGCCAGCAGCCGCGGUAAUUCCAGCUCCACUAGCGUAUAUUA
rnacentral:rRNA from 1 species